rnacentral:rRNA from 1 species
AGAGUUUGAUCAUGGCUCAGAUUGAACGCUGGCGGCAGGCUUAACACAUGCAAGUCGAGCGGGGACUUCGGUCCUAGCGGCGAACGGGUGAGGAAUGCUUGGGAAUCUGCCUAGUAGUGGGGGAUAACGUUUCGAAAGGAACGCUAAUACCGCAUACGCCCUACGGGGGAAAGGGGGGGAUCUUCGGACCUCUCGCUAUUAGAUGAGCCCAAGUCGGAUUAGCUAGUUGGUGAGGUAAAGGCUCACCAAGGCGACGAUCCGUAGCUGGUCUGAGAGGAUGAUCAGCCACACUGGAACUGAGACACGGUCCAGACUCCUACGGGAGGCAGCAGUGGGGAAUAUUGGACAAUGGGCGAAAGCCUGAUCCAGCCAUGCCGCGUGUGUGAAGAAGGCCUUCGGGUUGUAAAGCACUUUAAGCGAGGAGGAAUGGCUCUGGGUUAAUACCCUUGAGCAGUGACGUUACUCGCAGAAUAAGCACCGGCUAACUCUGUGCCAGCAGCCGCGGUAAUACAGAGGGUGCAAGCGUUAAUCGGAAUUACUGGGCGUAAAGCGCGCGUAGGCGGUUACGUAAGUUGGAUGUGAAAUCCCCGGGCUCAACCUGGGAAUUGCAUUCAAAACUGCGUGGCUAGAGUGUGGGAGAGGAAGGUAGAAUUCCAGGUGUAGCGGUGAAAUGCGUAGAUAUCUGGAGGAAUACCGAUGGCGAAGGCAGCCUUCUGGCCUAACACUGACGCUGAGGUGCGAAAGCAUGGGGAGCAAACAGGAUUAGAUACCCUGGUAGUCC